rnacentral:antisense_RNA from 1 species
UGUGGGAGCGGGCUUGCCCGCGAUGACGUCGGCAAAUUCAACAUGGUUGUCGCCUGAAAGUCCGCUAUCGCGGGCAAGCCCGCUCCCACA